UACAGCGGGUGCGAGCGUUAAUCGGAAUUACUGGGCGUAAAGCGUGCGUAGACGGUUAUUUAAGUCGGGGGUGAAAGCCCCGGGCUCAACCUGGGAAUUGCAUUCGAGACUGAAUAGCUAGGGUACGGUAGAGGGAAGUGGAAUUUCCGGUGUAGCGGUGAAAUGCGUAGAUAUGUGGAGGAACACCGAUGGCGAAGGCAGCCCCCUGGGUCAAAACUGACGCUCAUGCACGAAAGCGUGGGGAGCAAACAGG
rnacentral:rRNA from 1 species